ACCUUAAAGAACCUGCCUUUGUAGUGCUCACACAGAUUGUCUGAUAGAUGUAAAGAAGCAAGACGGCUGCGAAGUCGCGACACCUCGUGUCCCCUUCGUCUAGCGGUUAGGACUCCGCCCUUUCACGGCGGCAACAGGGGUUCGAAUCCCCUAGGGGACGCCACUUGCUGGCUGUGAGUGAAAGGCACAACCAACCGAUAUCUCAAAACUCAUCUUCGGGUGACGUUUGAGAUAUUUGCUCUUUAAAAAUCUGGAUCAAGCUGAAAAUUGAAACGACACACAGUUAAUGUGUGUUCGAGUCUCUCAAAUUUUCGCGACACGAUGAUGUUUUACGAAACAUCUUCGGGUUGUGAGGUUAAGCGACUAAACGUACACGGUGGAUGCCCUGGCAGUCAGAGGCGAUGAAGGACGUGCUAAUCUGCGAAAAGCGUCGGUAAGGUGAUAUGAACCGUUACAGCCGGCGAUGUCCGAAUGGGGAAACCCAGUGCAA
rnacentral:misc_RNA from 1 species